UACUCAUGGAGGCAGCUUAUAUUGGCAGAAUGGAUUUAUAAGAGGACUUGUGCUUGAGACAAAUUCGAUAUGGUGCAUAUCAAUCUGCCCUGACUAUAAUACUGUCCCUUGGAGUUGGCAUCAGCAGGUGUUUCAAUAUCAAUUUUUAACAUCAUAUCAAAGGUAUUCAACAUCCCUCUCCUUAGUGUUGCGACUUCGUUUGUAGCUGAAGAUAUCUCCAAAAAUGCAAGCAAGGGAUCAACUUCAGAUGAAAGAACGGCACUACCCUCAGUCCCUACUGCCUUACUUUUAGCGCUUGGAAUUGGUUUAUGUGAAGCUUUAGCUAUGUAUUUGGGAUCUGGACUGUUUCUCAACAUGAUGGGCAUAUCAACAGUUGGAGGACAUGAAAACUAUGGAAUCAGAUACGAAUUCCAUUGACAGGGCUGUUGCUAACCUCAUGUUCAGUGAGGUGGAUUCGGGUGGAAUAGAUCUCCUCGCUGCAGUGUCAUCCAAAGAGGAAGCUAAGGGAACAACCAAGCAGUGCAACUACAGCUUGAA